rnacentral:rRNA from 1 species
CUUUCUUUGCUGGCGACCGGCGCACGGGUGAGUAACACGUAUCCAACCUGCCCUUUACUCGGGGAUAGCCCUUCGAAAGAAAGAUUAAUACCCGAUAGCAUAAUGAUUCCGCAUGGUUUCAUUAUUAAAGGAUUCCGGUAAAGGAUGGGGAUGCGUUCCAUUAGGUUGUUGGUGAGGUAACGGCCCACCAAGCCUUCGAUGGAUAGGGGUUCUGAGAGGAAGGUCCCCCACAUUGGAACUGAGACACGGUCCAA